GAAGUUACAAUCUCCGAGCCAUACUGCCUGUCAGGGAAAACCUCAUGGAGUCUGGCCAACGGGUUUCGCGGGAAACGGCGGAGCCUCCCUUUCGGGAAGGAGUCCUGUCGCAUAGCGA
rnacentral:ncRNA from 2 species